CCAGAGGCAGGGAAUUCCUAUGCUUCACUAGUGACUCAUAAGAAAACUUAAUAGAAGGUCUCUACUGCCUGCUGGCCCUGCAGUACCUGAUUGAUGUGGUCCCAAACUAAAGUAGGCUAACCUUCAUUGAACCAAGCACUUCAGAGCCAUGGGAAGAAGUAUGGGGGAAGGAGUCCUUGUACUCUGGCAAUGAGGAAAACAAACAUUAACAGUGCAAGACACAGUGAGAGUCACAGAUCCAUGGAUGGACGAUCCUUUUGAGGACAAUAGAGGGGGAAUUUGGAUAAGUUUCCUGAGUGAGAAACCUUCCAGAUGGCAAUCUGAAAGUUAGCUGUUCCUUCUCAAAACACAGAGCUUUCUCAAGAGAAAGAUAACACCCUCUUUCAUCAGAGCGAGCGAGCUUUCUUCAUGGUGGCAAUUUCCAGUCUCCAGUGCAAGGAGGGGAAACUGAAGGAGAAUAAGGCGGUUACAUUCAGUUAGAGCCUGAGAGCAGAAUUUGGUUAGGCUGAAGCAGCUGGAAACUGUGGAAUGUAAUACCAGAGAGGAGACUGCCACACAAAGAACUCUAAAAAUUUUGAUUUUCAGCAAACCUUCAGAAGGCAAAAGGGAAAGUUUUCCCAUGGGCCAACGUGGAUAUGUUUCUGUAAUAGUCUGCUCAGCCUUCUACAACAAGAUGUCGCAGACUGGGUGACUUAAACCAGGGAUCCUCAAACCCUGGCAAUGGAUCGGUACGGGUCAGUGGCCUGUUAGGAAUCAGGCCACGUAGCAGGAGGUGAGUGGCCAAGCAAG
rnacentral:lncRNA from 10 species